UGAGUAACACGUAUCCAACCUGCCGUCUACUCUUGGACAGCCUUCUGAAAGGAAGAUUAAUACAAGAUGGCAUCAUGAGUCCGCAUGUUCACAUGAUUAAAGGUAUUCCGGUAGACGAUGGGGAUGCGUUCCAUUAGAUAGUAGGCGGGGUAACGGCCCACCUAGUCUUCGAUGGAUAGGGGUUCUGAGAGGAAGGCCCCCACAUUGGAACUGAGACACGGUCCAA
rnacentral:rRNA from 1 species